UCUGUUUUAUACUACCCAAACCAUACCAGGUAGCCUCAAUCCAAUCUACGAUCAAUUCAUGGCGUCGGAGGAGCCUCCUCGCCCCACCACGACCACGUCAUCCACCGCGACCGCCGCCGAAAAAGAGAAACGACACCGUUCUAUCUUCGAACUCCCGGCCAACUUCUUCGACUCCUGCGCCCUCCUUACUUCUUCCGGCCUCUCAGUUGCUUCAACUUUCGAGACCUCUAACAACAACAACAACUCCGCUCUCGAAACCCUAGACGAGUCUGUGUCCGAUAGCACCGAUCAAGAUCGCUCCCUAAACGCCGCCGUAUCGACUCGGUGGACCUGCAACACUUGCAAGGCUGAGUUCGAGUCCCUCCAAGAGCAGCGAUUUCACUUCAAAUCCGAUAUUCACCGAUUCAAUGUGAAGCUAAGUCUUGCCGGAAAGAAUAUUGUGAAGGAGGAGGACUUUGAUGAGUUAACGUCUGAUUCUUUUAAAGACUUUGAUGUCUCGAGUAUAUCGGGAUCAGAGGAUGAUGAACCUGAAAAAGUUGGCCCUUUCAAGCUUUCAAGGGCAACUGCUAGGCAGAAAUUACUCAUCCACCUUCAGACAGGAGAAAGAAUUUCGAUUUGGAAGGGUUUGGUUACAAAUGAAUCUGGACCUGAAAGUAAUUUGUCAUGUGAUGAAUUGUUAGGGAGAUUGAACACGGUGGUUCAUGAGCCUAGAGAUAAUACCUGUUUUAGAGUUGUGUUGCUUGCAAGCGGUGGGCACUUUGCUGGUUGUGUGUUUGAUGGUAGCAAGAUUGUAGCUCACAAGACCUUCCACAGGUAUGUCGUAAGGGCCAAGUCUGGAAAAAAACAGUCAUCCAAUGAUGCAUCUGGAAGGUUUGCUCAUUCCGCUGGAGCUUCUCUUCGUCGCCAUAAUGAACUUGGAUUGAAAAAGGAUAUUCAAGAGCUACUUGCUGCAUGGAAGCCUUAUUUUGAUGCUUCGUCUUGCGUUUUUGUUUAUGCUCCUUCUAGUAAUCAUCAGCUGCUAUCUAAUAGGGAGACACCAUAUUUUAGUCAUCAGAAAGUCCGAAAUAUUCCAAUCCCUAUUCGGAGACCUACUAUGAAGGAAGCUCGGCGGAUAUAUGACCAGUUGACACAAGUCUCUUAUGAACAAGAGGAGAAUGAAGUUCCUUUAGUUACCAAAAAGGAAUUGCCGUCUAGUUCAGGAAUUGAAAAUGAUAUCAUCUCAAGCAUGGCGAAAGUCAACAUUGUUGAGCCUUUUGUUGAGCCUAGUACAGAAGCUUGCUCAAGUACUAGAGAGUCCAAUGAACUCCCUAUAUCAAGUGAGAGUAGUAAUGAGGUUAAAGGUUCGUCAACACCUUUGCAUGAGGCAGCACAGUCUGGGAAUGCUCUCAAGGUUUUGGAACUCUUGGAACAGGGUCUGGAUCCUUGUGCCAGAGAUGAAAGGGGACAGACUCCAUACACGGUAGCAAACGAAAAGGAGGUCAGAAACACAUUUAGACGGUUCAUGGCCUCAAAUCUAGAUAAGUGGGACUGGAAUGCUGCUAAGGUACCUAGUGCAUUGACAAAGGAGAUGGAGGAAUCUCAAGCUGCUAAGCAGGCUGAAAAAGAAGCGAAAAGGAAAGCUAAAGCAAAAGAAUUGAAGAAACUACGCAAAGAAAAAGAAAAGAAAGCUCAGGCUGAGGCUGCUGCUUCCAAGAAUACUUUGACCAUUACAAAGUCCUCUUCAUCAUCUCAGCCCAGUCGUGCAUCACAGAUCUCUAAAGAGGAGGAACUGAAAAGGGCACUGGUAGCCGAGAGGGAAAAACGAGCAGCCGCAGCCGAGCGGAGAAUGGCUGCAGCUGCAGCCCUUAGUGCUCAAGGUUGAGUCUGCAGCUUCCAAGACUACUUCGAUGAUUUCAAAGUCCUCUUCAUCAUCUCAUCCUAGUCGUGGAUCACAGAUCUCUAAAGAGGAGGAACUGAAAAGGGCACUGGCAGCCGAGAGGGAAAAACGAGCAGCAGCAGCCGAGCGGAGAAUGGCUGCAGCUGCAGCCCUUAGUGCUCAAGGUAAUAGCACCACUGCACAACCCAAAACUGGGGAAGCUGGUGAAGGUGCCGAUGGUGGUUGUGGCUAUGGUCCAAGUGAUGCUAAUGGCGGUGGUACCAGGGAUGGUGGUGGUGGUGGUGGUGGUCGUGUUAGUGGCAAAUUAGUGAUGAUAAUUGUGGUGGUCACAACGAUGGCUCUCAAGUGGUGGCAGUGGCGACGCAGACGACAAUGAUGAUAUUUGGGGCAAGGACAACGGUAGUGGCAGGGGUACGUGGUGAUGGCUGAAUUUUCACUUUCGAUUCUAUACGAACCCAUCCAAUUAGUUUUCACCAUUUUAUAAAUUCCGGCUGCCGGCUAAGUCUACACGAAGUUUGAAAUAACCAACAUACAAUUCAUGCAAAUCAUGCAAAUGUGGUCAUGUGGUCAUUCUUUUUAGUUAUGGUGUGCUACUCAUCUUUAUCAGCCCUAUUAAUUCAAGAGUUUAGAGACAUGUUUAGAACACAACUU